rnacentral:rRNA from 1 species
GCAAUUCAGCUAUUGGAGGCAUUGCCUGCCCAGUGACAACUGUUUAACGGCCGCGGUAUCCUGACCGUGCAAAGGUAGCAUAAUCAUUUGUUCUCUAAAUAAGGACUUGUAUGAAUGGCCGCACGAGGGUUUUACUGUCUCUUACUUCCAAUCAGUGAAAUUGACCUUCCCGUGAAGAGGCGGGAAUGCACAAAUAAGACGAGAAGACCCUAUGGAGCUUUAACUAACCAACCCAAAGAGAAUAGAUUUAACCAUUAAGGAAUAACAACAAUCUCCAUGAGUUGGUAGUUUCGGUUGGGGUGACCUCGGAGAAUAAAAAAUCCUCCGAGCGAUUUUAAAGACUAGACCCACAAGUCAAAUCACUCUAUCGCUCAUUGAUCCAAAAACUUGAUCAACGGAACAAGUUACCCUAGGGAUAACAGCGCAAUCCUAUUCAAGAGUCCAUAUCGACAAUAGGGUUUACGACCUCGAUGUUGGAUCAGGACAUCCUGAUGGUGCAACCGCUAUCAAAGGUUCGUUUGUUCAACGAUUAAAGUCCUACGUGAUCUGAGUUCAGACCGGA